GACGAACGCUGGCGGCGUGCCUAAUACAUGCAAGUCGAACGCAGUGGGGACGGGUGAGUAACACGUGGGUAACCUCCCAUCAGAGGGGAUAACACUUGGAAACAGGUGCUAAACCGAUACUGAUGGAUGGACCCGCGGUGCAUUAGCUAGUUGGUGAGGUAACGGCUCACCAAGGCCACGAUGCAUAGCCGGACUGAGAGGGUGAUACGCCACACUGGAACUGAGACACGGCCCAGACGCCGUCGGGAGGCAGCAGGAGGGAAUCUUCGGCAAUGGAAGAAAGUCUGACCGAGCAACGCCGCGUGAGGGAAGAAGGUUUUCGGAUCGUAAAACUCUGUUGUUAGAGAAGCGGUAAUUAACCAGAAAGCCCCGGCUAACUACGUGCCAGCAGCCGCGGUAAUUC
rnacentral:rRNA from 1 species